rnacentral:lncRNA from 1 species
CCCGGGGGGUGGGGGCCGGACAGCGACCGCGACCUCAGCGUCGCUGCCCGGCCGCGGGCCGCUGCCGGUCGCCCUGGCUGCAGUGGGCGACGCCGAGCUGGGUCCCCGGCCACUCUCCAAGUGCGCGGGAAACCGACAAGAUAUCAACAACUUUUCUUCUAGAAAUCUUUCUUUUGGCUCAAUCAGAAGCUGAGAAAGAAAACACAAUUAUACUAAAGGCCAGAAAACUGCUUAUGUCCUCACAAGUAUUUGUCAAACGAUUACAGUAACAGAAUUAUGUGUACAGGUCCCUGUCCAAUGUGACUCUGUUUGGGAAGUCUGUGAUUGUAUAGUCUAGAAUGUAAACCUCCAUGUAAUCACUGAGAAUUAUUUCAGGCUACUCAGUGAUAUUGCAAUUGGUUAGCUCCUUGUAAAAGCAGCUUGCCAAAUAAAUGUUACCAGGUUUGGGGGUGCUUGCCUCUACUUCUGGAGUUGAAUUCCAGAUUCUUCUGGUCUUGAACAAAGAAUUCAGUGAAACAAGCAAAAAUCAGUGACAAUGUUUAUUUGAAAAAGUAAAAGUGAAGAGUGAGGGAGAAGCUGGCUCCGUAGAGAAGAAAAGAAAAAGCAAUAGAAAAGGACACCCUGGAAGCUGGGUGCGGACCACACACCCAUGAUCCCAAGACUUGGGAGGCUGAGGCAGGAGGCUCUCCAUGAGUUUGAGGACAGCCUUGGCUACAUAGUGAGUUCAAGGCCAGCCUAAACUACAUAGUGAGACCCUGUUUAAAAAAAAAAAAAAAAAAGUA